rnacentral:rRNA from 1 species
UUUCUCCGCCGGCGACCGGCGCACGGGUGAGUAACACGUAUGCAACCUGCCCCUGUCAGGGGGACAACCCGCCGAAAGGCGGGCUAAACCCGCGUACAUGCCACCGGGGCAUCCCGGAGGCAGGAAAGGCUUCGGCCGGACAGGGAUGGGCAUGCGGCGCAUUAGGCAGUAGGCGGGGUAACGGCCCACCUAACCGACGAUGCGUAGGGGUUCUGAGAGGAAGGUCCCCCCACACUGGUACUGAGACACGGACCAGACUCCUACGGGAGGCAGCAG